GAAUAAAUAGAUCUGAAUGUGUUCUUUUGAAUGGAUUGUGCGUGCAAACUGGCGUGAUUGACGGAGGGUCCACAUCAGAUGUUUUGAUGCCAAGCAUCAGUCUCGCUAUAUCAUCCAAGGAUAUUUUGGCAUGCUGCACUUUCAUUCGCCAGGGUGUUAAAUCAAUCAUUUGCUUAUGAUACAGUAUAACUCAAGAAUUACCUAAUGUGCUGUAUAGUUAGUUAUCAUAUGCUUUAUUAUUUAAUAAGAGCUACCUUGAAGAAAUCAUAACCUAAAAGCCCUGUUAAAAAUUGGCCAGUUAACUGAUUAGUCCCUGCUCAGAGGGCCACUGAUCAGCCGAUUGCAGCUACAAGAGGUGAGUUUGAUUUCGUUCUCACUUAGUUGGAUGCCUUUUCUGAUUCACUGGAAAGUAAUUAUAGAGAGAAAUUGCGGACAUUUAUUUCUCAUGUUCAUCGUUCAGUUCAUGUGCCUGCUCUGGACUUCCAAGUCAGCGAGUUCAGUUGAACUUGAAAAUCAUGGUAGCUGUUACUUAAUAAUUCAGUUCAUACUCAAUGUGGUUUGAUAAGAUCGAUCCAUUCUGAUAACAUUAGCAAGAUAGGUUUGUACAUCGUUUGAGACCAAUUAAUUGGUAGUCAUGUUAUUCAGUCAAUUGGAAGAUUCUGAUUCAGUGUUACUUGAUUUUUGCAGAUAUCUCUGUUUGUUGCUUGAGUAGCCUUUGUUUUUUACUUAAGGUGACAUAGGAUGUGCCAAAGCUUAGGUGAACUGAUUGCAUCAUGUAUUUAAAGAACUUGACGGAGUCUUCAUAAAUAUUGGUAAAUUGAACUAAAACCAUGUCUUAUUUCUGGAGACAUUAACAACUAUCACAGGGAAGGUGGUCUUGCUAAUGUGCAGAUUUUUUAAAAGAGUACAAAAUUUGUAACCUGCAUUUUCCGGUGAUUCCAUUUUCUUUGUUCUCUGGAAUUUGCAAAAAAAGUAGCAGAUACCCUGGGUUCCACUAAUUAGUGUUGGGGGUGCAAAAGGGAUGGCUAAUUAAGCUAUAUUUUGAAGUGUUUCCUCGGUAGUAUUUCAGUAUGCUCUUGGUUCCAUGCGUGUUACAUCAUAUAACCAGUGCUGAGAUGAUGAAAAAGUGUGAUUUCUUUGUAAUCUUACCUAUCUGCUUAGUCCAUUUCACUAUGUAAAAUAUAUGACAUGCUUGACAAAACACGUCUAUCUAUUUGUAUCUACAAUUAUUCAUUUGAUUCUGCGAGUAUGUCUGGUAAAAUUUCUCUGUUACAUGGAGAAUACUUCCAGUUUCAUUAUAAUAAUAGUUGGAACAAUUCCUAUGAAUUAAAUGUUUACAUUUUGUUAGUUCAUCUGAAUAUUAAAAGUUAAGUGUUGCCAAUUUGCAUUGUGGAUGCUCUAAAUGCACUUCAGAGUACACUUUUUAUGCAGCCCACAUGCAUCUGACAAUAUUACAUAUGGUCCUGAGUUAUGCGAAUUUUGCAUUUUUUUGAGUGAAGGAGGUAUUGAUAGCUAGCAGUCGCAGAGCCCAACGGAAGGGGGUGUCAUGCCCGCCUAUGCAGGUCGCCCUGCUGCCUACAGUGGUAGGGCUGGCUGAUCAAGUGCUUCGGCCUGUUGAAGCUAAGUGCUCCUUCAGGAUAUUAUUGACACAUACAUAUUUCUACAUGAUCUUUAAAAAAUGAUAAGACAUGAGGCAUAUAGCUAUUUAAGGAGUUAUUUUUUCCGACGCUGGAAACCUGUAGCUAUUUCCUGUUCUCUAUAUGUUUUGUCAGCAAGUUUGUGGAUUUAAUUCUUGAAUAAUAUAGCUAUCAGAGAUAAAUAAGAGUUUGUUCAUAUGUUGCCAACAUGUUGUUUGUCGCCGGAGACUAUUAAAAGUAGUUAGACCCUUGGAAGUGUGAGUUGAAUAACUUUUUGAAUGCUAUGUUUUAAAAGCCGUUGGUGCGUUAUUUAUGAAGAAUUAGCUAGAUCACCGAUAUGCCCAUUUGAUUACAAUUUACAGAUCAGCUGUGGCAAACAAGCUCAACAUGGGGCUAAUCGGCUGAGCUUGCUCCACGGGCCUCUGUUUUCGGUCGGCAGCUAAGAUAUAUCCUACUAGAUGAGAAGGCUAUCUUCUUGGAAAAUGGUGGCCUGAUACCUUGGUGUUUGCCUGCCGCUUAAAGGCACAACCAGUGGAAAUGGCUUUACGGGAGGUUGGUUUGGGAGGGCAAUUUUCCCACAUUUUUGACAGUUCCUGCCAACCGGGCAAGGUUGACAUGUGCUUCUACCCUAACAGGGACAUGAUAAUCAUGAUAGGUGAAUGCGCGCGGUCUCAUGUGAGCUAAGAUGUUUAGGUCUGUCCCCACAUGCAUACAAAUGCUCUUAAGCAUGUUUAGGAUAUUGCUAAGGAUGGUACUCAAUCUGAGUUGAACUUAUGCACGUGUCUAGGAAUUUCCCAACAGCUACCAGUUUGCGGGCACCAUCAAGAGCAAGAACAUGCAGAUUGGCGAAGUCUUCCCAUCCCAUCUUUGCCUUUGCACUUGGAAAUAAGCUGACACAAGCCAUUGAUGCGUAGCGCCAGCACACAUACCUUUGUCUAGGAGAAGCAUCCCUAGAUAUGACAAGAGCAUACUAUGAGUUUACCUCGAUGGCACGCGGCUCUAGCAUUGUAGCCUCAUGUUGAUGUUAAUCUUGUGACUAAUGAAUUUUCUGAGUUGAGUGCAAUUUUAUGUGUCUUAUGGGCACCUUGUUGCAUAUUGAUCAGUGGUGAACCGGUGAUUGCAAUUGUAUGCUCAUACUUUACAAACUUUAUUAGCUAAAAUAAAUGAUUUUCCUAUGAA